UACAGAGGGGGCAAGCGUUAUUCGGAAUUAUUGGGCGUAAAGGGCUCGUAGGUGGCCAACUAAGUCAGACGUGAAAUCCCUCGGCUUAACCGGGGAACUGCGUCUGAUACUGGAUGGCUUGAGUUCGGGAGAGGGAUGCGGAAUUCCAGGUGUAGCGGUGAAAUGCGUAGAUAUCUGGAGGAAUACCGGUGGCGAAGGCGGCAUCCUGGACCGGCAUUGACGCUGAGGAGCGAAAGCCAGGGGAGCAAACGGG
rnacentral:rRNA from 1 species